GACGAACGCUGGCGGCGUGCUUUACACAUGCAAGUCGAACGAAGUGGCGAACGGGUGAGUAACGCGUAAUCAACCUGCCCUUCAGAGGGGGACAACAGUUGGAAACGACUGCUAAUACCGCAUACUGAAGGAGGGGAUUGCGUCUGAUUAGCUAGUUGGGGGGGAAACGGCCCACCAAGGCGAUGAUCAAUAGCCGGGCUGAUGGGAUGAACGGCCAAAUUGGGACUGAGACACUGCCCAGACUCCUACGGGAGGCAGCAGGGGGGAAUCUUCCGCAAUGGACGAAAGUCGGACGGAGCAACGCCGCGUGAGGGAUGACGGCCUUCGGGUUGUAAAGCUCUGUUAAUCGGGACGCGGUACCGGAAUAGAAAGCAACGGCUAACUACGUGCCAGCAGCCGCGGUAAUUC
rnacentral:rRNA from 1 species